AUUGAACGCUGGCGGCAUGCCUUACACAUGCAAGUCGAACGGUAACAGGUCUUCGGAUGCUGACGAGUGGCGAACGGGUGAGUAAUACAUCGGAACGUGCCCAGACGUGGGGGAUAACGAGGCGAAAGCUUUGCUAAUACCGCAUACGAUCUAAGGAUGAAAGCAGGGGACCGCAAGGCCUUGCGCGUUUGGAGCGGCCGAUGGCAGUUUAGGUAGUUGGUGGGAUAAAAGCUUACCAAGCCGACGAUCUGUAGCUGGUCUGAGAGGACGACCAGCCACACUGGGACUGAGACACGGCCCAGACUCCUACGGGAGGCAGCAGUGGGGAAUUUUGGACAAUGGGCGAAAGCCUGAUCCAGCAAUGCCGCGUGCAGGAUGAAGGCCUUCGGGUUGUAAACUGCUUUUGUACGGAACGAAAAGGCUCUGGCUAAUACCUGGGGCACAUGACGGUACCGUAAGAAUAAGCACCGGCUAACUACGUG
rnacentral:rRNA from 1 species